UGGGGAAUCUUGGACAAUGGGCGCAAGCCUGAUCCAGCCAUGCCGCGUGGAUGAUGAAGGCCUUAGGGUUGUAAAAUCCUUUCGUGGGGGACGAUAAUGACGGUACCCCAAGAAGAAGCUCCGGCUAACUUCGUGCCAGCAGCCGCGGUAAUACGAAGGGGGCUAGCGUUGUUCGGAUUUACUGGGCGUAAAGCGCGUGUAGGCGGGUCGUUAAGUUGGGGGUGAAAUCCCGAGGCUCAACCUCGGAACUGCCUUCAAAACUGGCGACCUGGACCUAAGUAGAGGCAAGUGGAAUUGCGAGUGUAGAGGUGAAAUUCGUAGAUAUUCGCAGGAACACCAGUGGCGAAGGCGACUUGCUGGACUUAUGGUGACGCUGAGACGCGAAAGCGUGGGGAGCGAAACAGGAUUAGAUACCCAUGUAGUCCCUGAGCGGGCUGGCAAGGCGCAU
rnacentral:rRNA from 1 species